UAAACACUGGGCCGAGCUCCUCAUUAAUCAGCCCAGAGGGAUGACAGCCAGCCCUGCUAUCGGCCCCAUACAUCCACGCAUGCCCAGGGCUGUCUGGGCCCCAGGCUCGUACCUGCUAACGAAGACACCAAUGAGCCUCUGGACUUUAUCUGCCAGCUCAGCCACGGAGUCGAGGCUGGCAGUCGGGCCUCGGUGCCCAGCCCGGCCCUGGAGCCCAGCGGCCUGCAGAGGAACCCAUGUGCAGAAACCUUUUAGAGCUCCAGCAAUCCGAUUAAGGCAGCUUUUUUCUUUUUUUUCGCAGCACUGUUGAUGCUGAGAUAAGUGUUAUAGUGGGCUCCUCGGAUCAACUCUAAAAGCACUAUUUCAUUAAACUAGGAACUCAAAUUUCUGAGUGGAACCAUUUUGGGUUUCUUUACACAUUUUGAGGGGGUAAGCUGGGGCGGAGGAACUUGCAUACACAUUUACACACACGGACCUACAGCAGCAGCCGUCAAGAUGUGAAAUAAUGACUGAGUGAGCAGUAGAUGAUGAAUAGCCAGGAGAGGAUGGAUUUUAUGCAUUUGAUUUGCAGAAAUAGAUGGGAAAUUUGAGUCUGUGUGUUGUUGCUCUGUGAGUGUUUAUGAUUGUGUGGUUUUUCAAAGACAAGCAGGUAGAACUCGAAAAGCCUCCGUAUUAUAAGUGUUCUGGCAGAGCGUCAGUCGGAUGAUGGAUGAUGUCUUCAUCGCUGGCCAAUUCUCUGAAGUUGUGGUUUGAGUGUUGGACUGAAAAACAAGAUUACAUUUAAUGGGCAUUUUCUCCCAUCCAGAAUUAACUGCAGGCUAAACACGGACAGCUCAGAAUAACAUGGCGUCCAACCAACCAACUCAGUAUCCUGUGCUAGAAGCACAACUAAAAUUGCUUUAAAGUCUUCAGUGAAUAUUGGUUAGUUUAGUUUCAACUGAAUGGAAUUGAAAGUAAGCUGUGUAUUUUCAGAUAAGUGUAAUAUUUUUCAGCCUCAGUGAACUGGAUAUAAAAAGAUCUCCAAAAGACCCUUUUAGAGCCAAUGUCGUCAACCAAUAUGUGUGCACGUGUUUGCAAAAAAAAAAAUGUUUUUCCCCAGUUGAGUCGGCUAGCUUUGAACAUUGAAUUAAAAUGGUUGACUGCAGGAACUUGUUGUCCGUGCGGUUGACCAAAUUGGUAUUCCAUGAGCGGACUUAAGUUCUGCAUAAUUCAGGCAGAAUCAUGACCGCUUCAAAGUAGCAGGUGUUUAAGUUUACUAAGUGUCUGUAUUAAAUGGGGCCGAUUGUAUCCAUGGUCCCUGCCUGAGGUACCUUGCAUGAAUGACAUACAGAUGAGUAUGUAUUUAAAAUUGAUUGGCUUGUGUGAGCACACCUACACGUUUUGUUUAGUAUUUUAAAGAGCUGCUGUCAUUGUGUGUAACCCCAGAUGCAUUCCGCUAAGAGUCAACACGCUCACUUUUUAAACUUAAUCACGGGUGACCUCAAUAGCUGCGAGCUGGUAAACGCAGUGACUGCCACUGGGUUGAUUAAAAAAAAUGCUUGUGUUUUAAUGCCAAUCAUUUUAAAAAUCAAUAAAGUCAAUCCGUUGAGUCUAGCUUGUGGUAUUCGAUGACUCUAGUGACACGUAUGCUCAUAAUUUAUCUUCGGUGUAACGCAACACAAAAGCUUUCUUGAGCAAAUACAUACACCUCAUCUAUAUAUACAGAUAUAUGUAUGUAUAUACAAGGCUGCUAACAGCAAACUGAUCCGAAAAGCCAACAUUUGCCAUCGUUGGUGGUUUUCGUCCUUGUGCAGCUAUUGAACUCUGCUGAAAUUCCUGACCAAACUGAGUGUGUCCACUGAUGUGCGUCAGCUUUGUUCCUGCUCUAAAAGGGUCCAUUCAAUAAUGAUGCUAUUGACAUUCUAACCUGUUUUUGUUUUUUUAACUCAACGCUAUCAAAUAUGUACUUGCGCUUUAAAGAGGACAUUUUUCUUGUAAUGUUAAUGCAUCAGGAAUGAAAAUUCCAAUUAAUAAAGAAACUGUUUUGUCGAAGAAAUUGUUUCUAUGAAAUAUGUUUUCAGGCAUUUAAACUCACUGCAACCAUAUUCUACGUCAAUAAAAGGCACUUUCAUAUUA
ensembl:lncRNA